AUGGGUAGAUGUACCUGCUUUCCCUUCACCUUCCACUGUGACUGUACAUUUCCUGAGGCCUCCCUAGUCAUGCGUUCUGUGCAGCCUGCUGAACUCUCUGCCCAAAUUUCAGCUGUCAUGGAAUGAGUGACGUAAUAUAAUGGAAAUGCAUCAUCUCAGUUUCCCCAUGGCCUGAAUGUGCAUACAAGAUGAGAACCAGUACAGAAAAAGAGAGGAUGUGAGGAGUUUUUAAAAAUUGAGGAAAAGUAGAAGGAAAAGUAAGGAUGAAGGUGAAGAUAAAGGAAUAUGUCAGAGAUGCCAGCAUUAGCAUCCCCAAACACAUAGUACCAUGUCCUGCUAAAGAACUCUGUAGAACAUACAUAGUGUAGAUGGCAAAGUCUUCUUGGGAAAUACAUGUGAGAAAAAGAGACUUCGGGAUUGCAAGAUUGCAGCUACUGUCUCUCCUUGGAGCAGAAUUCCAUCUUUUCCAUGGCUGGGGCCCUUGACAUAUGUCACUAUGUACUGCUCUUCCUGCUGGGAAAAGGAAACUGAGAUCCAGAGAGGACAAGUGAAUUUCCCAAGAUUGUCCAGUUGAUACGAAGCGGAGCUGGAAAGUGAGUGGAUCUCUCUGGUUCUGAAAGCUUUGCUCGCAAGCACAGGUUGAGACCUCCAGUCAAUCAAUAAACACUGAGACUCUUCCACAGACUCAGCACGUUCUGCUGUCCCUGAAGCUCGGCACUCUCAUUUCAAAACACAGAGAGAACCCAGGAAACAGUGGAAGGAAAAUAAUAUGAUAUUUGAGAGGCAGCGUGGAUUAUCGGGGGAUGUGGGUUCGUGUCCUUUCUCUCCCACACACAUAUGGCAUGAUGCUAAGCAGGUCACGUCACCUCUCCAGGGUUGUUUCCUCAACUGAGAAAUGAGGGGGUUGAGAUGAGCGCCAGCCCUGGGGUGCUCAAUGCUGCAGUCUAGGGUGGUGUGGACUGAAAUCAGAAUGCUUUCUCCUCCGCUCUGGGUGCUGCCACAUGAUCUCUCUUUCUCACUCCCCACCCCCAGUCUUGCCCAUCUGAGUUUCAGGUUAUUUUUUCCUUCCUUCUGCCCUUCAGUUUCCUUAUUGAGGCAGCUCUUUUCCUGCUGCCUCUGUCCCCGCCGGAGCUGUCUGAGCCAGUAGAGCCUGUGGAAGCCAAGGGAAACCUGACUUGAAUCUUGCUUUCUGACAUGCUGGCCGUAGCUUGCUUAGGAACUGAAUAAGCACUUCUUACUCGCUGUGUUCACCACAGUGGAACCGUGGGUGCAGAAGUGUAAUUCUCAACCAGCCCAGUUCAAUCAGUGAAAGACAAUAGAGCUUGCAGGCGGUGUCACGUUGGGUCUCUGAACACACCAUGGCUGCUGUCGCCUUUUUCAUCAAAAUGAUUGAAAACAGAUUUCUAAA